AUGCNGCGUGUGUGAAGAAGGNCUUAGGGUUGUAAAGCACUUUCAGGGGUGAGGAAGGGUGUGCUGUUAAUACCAGCGUACUUUGACGUUAGCCCCAGAAGAAGCACCGGCUAACUCUGUGCCAGCAGCCGCGGUAAUACAGAGGGUGCAAGCGUUAAUCGGAAUUACUGGGCGUAAAGCGCGCGUAGGUGGUUUGUUAAGUCUGAUGUGAAAUCCCAGGGCUCAACCUUGGAAUGGCACCGGAUACUGGCAUGCUAGAGUACGGUAGAGGGGUGUGGAAUUUCCUGUGUAGCGGUGAAAUGCGUAGAUAUAGGAAGGAACAUCAGUGGCGAAGGCGACACCCUGGACUGAUACUNACACUGAGGUGCGAAAGCGUGGGGAGCAAACAGGAUUAGAUA
rnacentral:rRNA from 1 species